UACAGAGGGGGCCAGCGUUAUUCGGAAUUACUGGGCGUAAAGCGUGCGCAGGCGGUUUCUGAAGUCCGUUGUGAAAGCCCCGGGCUUAACCUGGGAAUGGCAGUGGAAACUAGGAGACUUGAAUCUGGCAGAGGGGGGUGGAAUGCCACGUGUAGCAGUGAAAUGCGUAGAGAUGUGGCGGAACACCGAUGGCGAAGGCAGCCCCCUGGGUCAAGAUUGACGCUCAGGCACGAAAGCGUGGGGAGCAAACAGG
rnacentral:rRNA from 1 species